rnacentral:rRNA from 1 species
CACUUUUGGCAGGAAAGAAACGUCAUGGGUUAAUACCCCGUGAAACUGACGGUACCUGCAGAAUAAGCACCGGCUAACUACGUGCCAGCAGCCGCGGUAAUACGUAGGGUGCAAGCGUUAAUCGGAAUUACUGGGCGUAAAGCGUGCGCAGGCGGUUCGGAAAGAAAGAUGUGAAAUCCCAGAGCUUAACUUUGGAACUGCAUUUUUAACUACCGAGCUAGAGUGUGUCAGAGGGAGGUGGAAUUCCGCGUGUAGCAGUGAAAUGCGUAGAUAUGCGGAGGAACACCGAUGGCGAAGGCAGCCUCCUGGGAUAACAC